UUUUUUUUUCGUCAAAGCUUUCAUUGAUCAUUGUAGUUUGUUUGUUAUUGUUGAUGGUUUUUUUUCUCUACUACUGUCGAUAAUAAUAAUAUAAUAAUAUUAUGUCCCACCGUGGUCGAAACGCUCUUAUUAUCUCGUUCGACACGGGCUUUUAACCUCGACGCCUACUAUUAUAUUAUUAUUAUUAUUAUUAUUAUUAUUAUUAUUAUUAUUAUUAUUAUUAUUACUACAACUACUAAAAACGACUGAACAAAAACGGUACGCCUGGCUCGAAUGUAGAUAACGAAUAAAAAAAAAAAAACAACUGCCAUAGAGAACACGACCGGCAAACACAAUAUGUGUACGCGAUUUGGUGUGUAGAUAAAAAUAUUAUGACUGCUCGUGAACCACCGCUGUAGAACAACCAGUUGUUUUUGGUCUUGCGAUAUGGGCGGCCAAAGUUCUGCCGUAGCAGUGCGGUCAGUUUGUUAAUAACGAUAAAUAUGAAUAUUGUUACGCCGUAAGUUAUCCAUUAGCCGUAUUUCUAGUAUUAAUACGUACAAUAUUAUAUUAUUAUUACACUUUAUCGUCAUGACGUCCGAACCGGUCGACCUGGGCCUGUGCGACAAAUCCAAAAUACUUCGCAAGCAUCGUAAGAAUAUAUUUAACAAAACAGCGUUGAAGAUGGUAGCUUCAGAAAUGACAACUAAUCCAGAUAAAGAUGCUGCUCAGAGCCAGUAUGUGGAUAUCAGUCCAGAUUUUUUAACUACAGGACGAACGGGAAGGCGCAAUGCUUUGCCAGACAUAUUAGGUGAACAUAAACUUACAACCACCGCCGAUUUACCUGAUCGUCUGCAAGCACUGACGACAAACGAUGAUGCUAGUACAAGCAGUAGUCAACCAAAGACAACGACUGCUGGAGAUUCAGAUUUAUGUAAAUCACAAAAUGCUUCAUGUUGAAGAAAAAAUUCUAUAUGAUUGUGAACACUAAAAAAGUGUUAUCGCCAUUCGUAAAAGUUCCAAAAGAAAAUUGGGUUGGUUAUUUCCAAUUCUGAAUUUGCUUAGUAAAGAUUUAGCUAUUUAGAAUUGAUUCCUAGUCUCUUAACAGCCAGACCAAAGUUAUUUGUUCCUGUUUUCAAAUUAGCGUUUGCAAUAAUUUUUCUUUCAAAACAUCUAACCCUUCUUAUAAUUUAUUGAAAAAUGACAUCUAAGUUUGGAAAAUUGAUUCCUUAAUCAUAGAUAGUAGGUAAUAAUAAUAAUAAUAAUAUUAGUAUUAGUUAAUUACUAAAUCAUGUGAGUCCUAAAUACCUACUUCAUAUUUUAUGUUGUUACAUAAUACUAUAUGUAAUACGCCAUUUUGCCAUCCCAAACGAAACAUAAAAUUUUUGUAUUUUGUUAAAAAAUGUUUAAGAAAAUAAAAUUGCCUUUUAUAAUAUUAUUUUAAUAAAGAAAUCGCACUACUUAAAUUUUUUUCAAGACAGUUAGCAAAAUCUUAUUGGUUUUCAACAGUUUUUUUUUUUUAAUAAAAUAAAAUUACUAUACAAAAUUAUAAUAACUUUUUAAAGAACUAAAUUAAAAAUUAGGAAAAUAGACAAUAAAAUAAAAUGUAUCUAUUUAAAAAAAAAAAAACCAAAAUAGAUAAUAGAAAAUACGUACACUGUAAUAAUUACAUGGUCGGUUUUGUGAUAUUUUUACAAUUUCUUACCCAACGGUCGUUUUUCAAUACCAAUAACUUGUACAUACCAGGAUUGGUCUAAAUUCCUACUAUUAUCGGUAUCUAUUUGAUAAAAUACUUAAUACGAUUCUUAAGUUAAACCAAAUACUAUUAUAUUGUAGUAUGCUAUCCUGAUGAUUUGUUUCUCUUUUAUUUGUUGUUCCUUAGUAAUUGUUUUUAGCGUAAGUUUAAAUUGAGUGGAUCCUAUAAAAUUAGAUUCAUGUUAAAAAAAAAAAACAAAAUAAUUUAUAUAUACUUGUAAUGUUUCCGUUAUCCCAAUAUUAAUUUAGAAAUUUUUACAAAAACCAAGAUCGCCAGUGCUUCAUUUACGGGUGAAAAUUAUUAAUCGUAAGAGUAUAUUUUUGUAUGGAAAAAAAAACGUAACCGUAAUAAUUUUGAUGAAACUUGUAUGCUGCUGUUAUUAGUAGAGUAGUCGUUGAGUGUAAGCACAGCGUGUACCCUAACGACUACGUCACUGCUAGUUAUUAUAAAUUACACAAAUACAAGAAUAAAUUUUAUUUUAGUCUAUAAAAUAACAUUUUCUUUUAACAUUCCUUUAAAAAUAACAAUGUAAAUCACAUUCUGUUACAUUUAUAGUUUAUUGUUGUUUUAAAAAAAAAAAACAA